rnacentral:rRNA from 1 species
GAUGAACGCUGGCGGCGUGCCUAAUACAUGCAAGUCGAGCGAACAGACGAGGAGCUUGCGCCUCUGACGUUAGCGGCGGACGGGUGAGUAACACGUGGAUAACCUACUUAUAUGACGGGGAUAACUUCGGGAAACCGGAGCUAAUACCGGAUAAUAUAUUGAACCGCGGGGUUCAAUAGUGAAAGACGGCUUUUCUGUCUCUUAUAGAUGGUUCUGCGCCGGUUUAGCUGGUUGGUAAGGUAACGGGUUAUCAAGGGUAGCAGGCGUUGGCGACCUGAGAGGCUGAUCGGCCACCUGGGAAGGUAACCAGGCACCAGACUCCUACGGGAGGCACCAGUCGCCAAUCUUCCGCAGUGGGCGAAAGCCUUGCGGAGCAACGCCGCGUGAGUUAUGAAGGCCUUCGGAUCGUAAAACCCGGUUAUGAGUGAAGAACCACUGUCGAAGUAACUAUGGACGGCUUGACGGUACCUAAUCAGAAAGCCACGGCUAACUACGUG